AUUGAACGCUGGCGGCAGGCCUAACACAUGCAAGUCGAGCGGAUGAAGGGAGCUUGCUCCUGGAUUCAGCGGCGGACGGGUGAGUAAUGCCUAGGAAUCUGCCUGGUAGUGGGGGAUAACGUCCGGAAACGGGCGCUAAUACCGCAUACGUCCUGAGGGAGAAAGUGGGGGAUCUUCGGACCUCACGCUAUCAGAUGAGCCUAGGUCGGAUUAGCUAGUUGGUGGGGUAAGGGCCUACCAAGGCGACGAUCCGUAACUGGUCUGAGAGGAUGAUCAGUCACACUGGAACUGAGACACGGUCCAGACUCCUACGGGAGGCAGCAGUGGGGAAUAUUGGACAAUGGGCGAAAGCCUGAUCCAGCCAUGCCGCGUGUGUGAAGAAGGUCUUCUGAUUGUAAAGCACUUUAAGUUGGGAGGAAGGGCAGUAAGUUAAUACCUUGCUGUUUUGACGUUACCAACAGAAUAAGCACCGGCUAACUUCGUG
rnacentral:rRNA from 1 species